rnacentral:rRNA from 1 species
GUGGAUUAGAUACCUCGGUAGUCCUGGCAGUAAACGGUGCACGCUUGGUGUGAGGGGAAUCGACCCCCCUCGUGCCGGAGCCAACGCGUUAAGCGUGCCGCCUGGGAAGUACGGUCGCAAGACUAAAACUCAAAGAAAUUGACGGGGACCCGCACAAGCGGUGGAGUAUGUGGCUUAAUUCGAUGCAACGCGAAGAACCUUACCAAGGCUUGACAUGGAUUUCUAAGCGCGUGAAAGCGCGUGACCCUUCGGGGGACUUCCACAGGUGCUGCAUGGCUGUCAACAGCU